AUUUUUAAAAUGUUUUCCCAUUUUUUAAGCCUUUUUUCCUUCUCUUCCAAUUAUGGCUCGGGCUGUCAGUCCUGCUGAACAGCUCCUCGCCCUGUUCCUACCCAUCGAAUGUGGCUUUUGCCAGCCUGUGGCUGCUUUCCUCAAGUAACCGCCAUCCAUUUCACUUGAUCCGAGUCUUUCGUGCUCGCUGCAGAACAAGGUGAAGGUUCUCAUGCUCCUGUGAUUGCUCCGUUUAGGAGGCAGGAGAAGGUCCGUGUGUUUUUUGGGAGUGGAGACCACACAUAAGCUUAGGCAGGUUGUUUCCAGUGGAGAAAUCAGCCCCAAGUUUGUAGAAAAUCUGCGCCUUGCUGGACGUCAGAGGCCGGAGUGGGACUGUCCGAGGUCACCUAUAGCUUGCAGAUGGGCACCUGAGGAUCUUGCUCGUGCGUAUGUGCCAAUAGAGUGACUUGCAACUUCGUCAAGUCACAUGCAUCGUUUGGAAGCGGGCCCUCCAGCCCGGAAUGUCACCUUGAGGGUGUGUGGAACUGGGAAAAUUACAGGGAUGGGAAACGUGGGAGAGGCGUGCUUGUCUCCGGCGUGUGCUUCAAGGAGCCUUCGCUCGGGACUCCUGCGAGGUCGGGAGGCUGGCACUGAGCUCCACGCACGUUUCAUUGAAGAAAGAUGAGGGAAGAAGCAAAAGACUGGGGCCAUCUCAAAAGGCAGCCUUUUAUUUCCAAAAGCAAAAGCCUUUUCCAGGACUUAGUGUUGAAUGGUGGGUUUUCUUCCACUCCUUCUCUCCAGCAGGCUCAAAAGGAAUGGGCGAAGGAAGGGGAGCGCUUCGUGGGAUCGGAGAAUGGCUCAGGUUGGAAGGGACCUUAAAGACCAUCCAGGUCCAACCCGCUGCCAUGGGUACUGAUGCCACGCUCCAGGGCCUCGUCCAACCUGGCCUUUUUCUAUUUUGGAGUUCAACCAAGAGAUUAAAGCGAGAGCAGAAUGUUGCAGAUACUUUUUUCCCUCCCCGAGCUUUUCAGUGGCAAAAAAAAAAUUAUUAAUGAAGGGUAAUUUUUCCUCCUUUUUGGAGGGUGGGGGUAGAAAAAUGUUUUCUGUAUUAGAAAGUACACUUUUUGAGCCAAAAGAGCUGUGCAAAAUAUUUUGUGUUGAUAUAUUAAAUUCUGUGUAUGCUUCUGUGGCUUACAGGGUGCCAGAAUCCCCUGUAAAUUCUUCUUGAAAUUAGCUGUGUUCAAGCAGUGUGCUCGGGGUGUCGGCAGAACGUCUCUGCUCUCUUUUGCUUAGCACUGGCAGUAAGGCAGUCAUCAUGUUACCACUGUAGGAAUGUGCUUCCAUAUGUUCAUGUGCUGUUCAUAAAGCUGUUUUCUUCUUAAAUCUUCUGCCCACUCCUCCUCACUUUUCAGCCAUUACAGAAAUGCUUAAUGUAAAACCUGCAUGAAGGCAGAUUAGUUUAAAUCUCCAUAUCACUGGAAUUCUCUUUGCCCUCCCUUGAUCAAUUCUCUCGUGCUCUCUUCUUUCAUGCGCUGUUUUGCAAAUUGAUUUAGAAAAAAAUCUUGACUUAUCUUUUGCAAUAUUACUUCUUUUUCUGAGAAGUAUUCAAGGGGUUUUUAAAGCAUAGAUUCCCAGACAACGUUAAGAAAACUUAAGUGGACAGAGCCCUUUCAUGCCUCUGAAACACCAAACUGAGACUUUGAAAGUUCAGCCAGGCUUCAUCCCUUACAAGACUGCAGAAUGCCUUUUUCCAGGUAUUGCCUUUCUCUGAGUUUUAAGCUUUGCCUCAGCAGAUCUUAAAAGGGCUUAAGGAUGUUCUUGGACCCGAACCAGCGAGCAUUUUAAGAGCACGCAGCCAUUUUGAAAUCGAGUUUUAAUAUGUCAGCAGCUGAAAGAAGAAUGAAGAUUUUAAAUUGCCAAACGCUUUUUGGCUUUUGUGCCCUUCUUUCUAUUAAGAAGGGCAGGCGGAGAUUUGCCCAGGACUUUAUAAGGUACAGUGGGGAAUUGUAGCAGUGGGUCUUGGAACCGCGAUAAUCGGUGA